rnacentral:ncRNA from 2 species
AUCAUUGUUGGGAAUGAGGUUCUCCCUUAGUGAUAACACUAAAACCGCUUAUUAAGCUGAUGACUUCUGCGAAUUA